rnacentral:tRNA from 1 species
GACGAUAUAGUUUAUUUAAAAUGUGUACUCUGCGAGUAUAAGAUAGAGUUUUCUUGUCGUUG